CGCAGCCGCGGUAAUUCCAGCUCCAAUAGCGUAUAUUAAAGUUGCUGCAGUUAAAAAGCUCGUAGUUGAAUUUCGGGACCAUCAUGUCGGUCGUGCCUCGGUACGUACUGGCAUUAUUGAUUUCUCCUUUCUGAAGGACCAUGAUGUCAUUAAUUUGGUGUCUUGGGAAAUCAGGACUGUUACUUUGAAAAAAUUAGAGUGUUUAAAGCAGGCUCACGCUUGAAUACAUUAGCAUGGAAUAGUGAAAUAGGACGUUUGAUUCUAUUUUGUUGGUUUCUAGGAUCGACGUAAUGAUUAAUAGGGAUAGUUGGGGGCAUUAGUAUUCAAUUGUCAGAGGUGAAAUUCCUGGAUUUAUUGAAGACUAACUACUGCGAGAGCAUUUGCCAAGGAUGUUUUCAUUAAUCAAGAACGAAAGUUAGGGGAUCGAAGA
rnacentral:rRNA from 1 species